GGAUUAGAUACCCUGGUAGUCCACGCUGUAAACGAUGUCAACUAGCUGUUUCUCAUAUAAAGAUGGGGGGUGGCGCAGCAAACGCGAUAAGUUGACCGCCUGGGGAGUACGGUCGCAAGAUUAAAACUCAAAGGAAUUGACGGGGGCCCGCACAAGCGGUGGAGCAUGUGGUUUAAUUCGAUGCAACGCGAAGAACCUUACCUACCCUUGACAUACAGUGGAGCCUGAAGAGAUUUGGGUGUGCCGGAAGGAACACUGAUACAGGUGCUGCAUGGCUGUCGUCAGCUCGUGCCG
rnacentral:rRNA from 1 species